AAUUUCAUGCACGUAAAUUUGAAAAAGAUAUGAAAAUGUUACAUUUUCUCAUAUGAUACGAAUAGAUAGAAUUUCCAGAUAAAUGGUUUACAUACACAUAGAUUCAAAACGUAAAUAAACCGUGAUAUGUACUUUUAAUUUCGUUGGAUUUCGGCAAUUAUUUCCAAGAUGCUAGAAAUCGAUUUGAGAUCUCGGUCCGAGAAAUGUGUAACCAAUCACCUUGCAGUUUUUCCGUAAACGAUGCAAGUUGAUUGGCUACACAUUUCUCGGACCGAGAUCUCGGAUCGAUUUCUAGUAUCGACAUAAGAGGUUUGUUCUUUUUCGCUGCACUCAUGAAGACUAGAGACUAGGCUGUUCAUCUUCGUAUUUGGAAAGUGAAACAAAACUAGGUCUACUAAGGGGCGGUCUACAAUGCAUCGCAAAUGCCGUCGCCAGUCCCGAAGUCCGGAACUGAAAAGCCACAGUGUAUCUAAAUGGUCAAAUAAUCGGCCAUCCCUGCACUCUGCCUUGACUACUCUUGGGUACACCAUGGUCACUUUUGAGGUAUAACUUUCGUUUAUGGGUGGAAAUCCUAUCACUAAAUUGGCUCUCAGGAAGUUGUCGGAUUUGAAAAAAAUUUCAGAUUUUUUACAGAAGGGUAAAAAAUCCUUGUAACACUCAACGUCGGUAACCACAUAGUACAUUUUCUCCAUUGAAAAUCUAAAUGAACAAGAAACAUAUGUUAAUUUUAAACGGCAUAAUCUGCAUUAAGAGUACGCGCUAUUUCUAAUGGCAUUUAACAUGUAAAUAAUAUCUCAAAAUGUAUGAACCAAAUGAUAUAACAAACUUAAAACACUAUUGCAAAAAAAUGAAAGUACCUUUAAAAUAUAAAUGCAGAAAUACUCAUUUAGAUACAUUAAGAUACUGAUAUUGAUAAUGACAACAACAACAGAUUAAAAAUACGAAAAAUCAAAA